GUUGUUUAAUUCGAUGAUACGCGAAGAACUUACCAGGUCUUGACAUCCCAUGCAAAGACUAUAGAGAUAUAGUGGAGGUUACCAUGGAGACAGGUGGUGCAUGGUUGUCGUCAGCUCGUGUCGUGAGAUGUUGGGUUAAGUCCCGCAACGAGCGCAACCCUUAUUGCUAGUUACCAUCAUUAAGUUGGGGACUCUAGCGAGACUGCCAGUGAUAAACUGGAGGAAGGUGGGGAUGACGUCAAAUCAUCAUGCCCCUUAUGACCUGGGCUACAAACGUGAUACAAUGGCUGAAACAAAGGGCAGCGAAGCAGUGAUGUGAAGCGAAACCCAAAAAAGCAGUCUCAGUUCGGAUUGAAGUCUGCAACUCGACUUCAUGAAGUCGGAAUCGCUAGUAAUCGCGAAUCAGAACGUCGCGGUGAAUACGUUCUCGGGGUUU
rnacentral:rRNA from 1 species